AGAGAGUGUGGAAAAGGAAGAGA
rnacentral:miRNA from 1 species